GAUGAACGCUAGCGAUAGGCUUAACACAUGCAAGUCGAGGGGCAGCACAAGGUAGCUUGCUAUCUGGGUGGCGACCGGCGCACGGGUGCGUAACGCGUAUGCAACUUGCCCUAUACAGGAGGAUAACCCGUCGAAAGACGGACUAAUACUGCGUAUGCUCACAACUUGGCAUCAAGUGGUGAGGAAAGAAAUUCGGUAUAGGAUAGGCAUGCGUCCCAUUAGCUUGUUGGUGAGGUAACGGCUCACCAAGGCAACGAUGGGUAGGGGAACUGAGAGGUUUAUCCCCCACACUGGUACUGAGACACGGACCAGACUCGUACGGGAGGCAGCAGUGAGGAAUAUUGGUCAAUGGGCGCGAGCCUGAACCAGCCAAGUCGCGUGAAGGAUGACUGUCUUAUGGAUUGUAAACUUCUUUUAUACGGGAAUAACAAGAGUCACGUGUGACUCCCUGCAUGUACCGUAUGAAUAAGCAUCGGCUAACUCCGUG
rnacentral:rRNA from 1 species